rnacentral:rRNA from 1 species
AGCUCACGUAGUGAAUCAUCGAAUCUUUGAACGCAUCUUGCACCGGACGCCCUGCGCAUCCGGUAUGCUUGUUUGAGCACGGCGUAGACACUCACGCGCGCCCUGGGCACGGCGGCGUGGAUCGAUGGACGUGUGGACCGUGACGCGGCGCGCACACAGGCAGGCAUGGGGAGGCCGCCUGGCGUCGCAGAUGGACCACUCGACUGAAAUGCAGGCCGCGGCCUUGCCGAUGGGUUGAGACCCUUCAGAGGCAGGCGUGGCGGGAUGGCGCUUUGUUGCGCCAGACCACCCCCAGAAAAGUCGCUGUCGUCCUCGAGACAACAACGACUUUUCUCUCAUCAUCCACCGUCUCAAAUCAAGCAAGAGGACCCGCUGAACUUAAGCAUAUCAAUAAGCGGAGG